rnacentral:rRNA from 1 species
AUUGAACGCUGGCGGCAGGCCUAACACAUGCAAGUCGAGCGGAUGAAGGGAGCUUGCUCCUGGAUUCAGCGGCGGACGGGUGAGUAAUGCCUAGGAAUCUGCCUGGUAGUGGGGGAUAACGUCCGGAAACGGGCGCUAAUACCGCAUACGUCCUGAGGGAGAAAGUGGGGGAUCUUCGGACCUCACGCUAUCAGAUGAGCCUAGGUGGGAUUAGCUAGUUGGUGGGGUAAAGGCCUACCAAGGCGACGAUCCGUAACUGGUCUGAGAGGAUGAUCAGUCACACGGGAACUGAGACACGGUCCAGACUCCUACGGGAGGCAGCAGUGGGGAAUAUUGGACAAUGGGCGAAAGCCUGAUCCAGCCAUGCCGCGUGUGUGAAGAAGGUCUUCGGAUUGUAAAGCACUUUAAGUUGGGAGAAAGGGCAGUAAGUUAAUACCUUGCUGUUUUGACGUUACCAACAGAAUAAGCACCGGCUAACUUCGUG